AAGUUUCAACAACGGAUCUCUUGGCUCUCGCAUCGAUGAAGAGCGCAGCGAAAUGCGAUAAGUAAUGUGAAUUGCAGAAUUCAGUGAAUCAUCGAAUCUUUGAACGCACCUUGCGCUCCUUGGUAUUCCUCGGAGCAUGCCUGUUUGAGUAUCA
rnacentral:rRNA from 1 species